GGCCUGAGAACAAAUGCAUUUAGCAUUACACAGUUUGGAAGUGGUAGUAGCAAGACUCAGACACAUCUGUUAAUGGCAGAUGUCCACGGCCACACCCUGCAUCCCAAAUGGGAAGGGCUGGAGGGCAAGCUGUGCUGUCUGCAGGGAGGCCACCUCUAACUGGCGUUUCCACUCACGGCAGGUGGCUGUGCCCAACUGGUAUACAUACAGGUUUCAGUGACAAGGGCAGGAAAGGGAAUCUGUCGUGCUCUGGGAGCUUUGAAUCAAGGCAUGGUGAGUCAGUACUUAUUAUCUACAAAGUACAGCCAAAUUGGGCUUCUCUGGUGGCACUACUGGUAAAGAACCCACUUGCAAAUGCAGGAGAUGUAAGAGAGUGAUGCAGGUUUGAACCUUGGGUCAGGAAGAUCUCCUGGAGGAAGACAUGGCAACCCACUGCAGUAUUCUUGCCUGGAGAAUCCCAUGGGCAAAGGAGCCUGGCGGGCUGCAGUCCAUGGGGAGUGACUGCAGACUGCAGAGAGUCAGGCAUGACUGAAGCGCUAUAGCAUGCAUCACACACAGCUGAAUUACAAUCCAGAACACUGAAAAGAGAGUUCCAGAAAAACAUCUACUUUUGCUUUAUUGACAAUGCCAAAGCCUUUGACUGUGUGGAUCACCACAAACUGUAGAAAAUUCUUAAAGAGAUGGAAAUAUCAGACCAUCUUACCUGCCUCCUGAAAAAUCUGUAUGCAGGUAAGGAAGCAACAGUUAGAACUGGACAUGGAGCAACAGACUGGUUCCAAAUAGGGAAAGGAGUACGUCAAGGCUGUAGAUUGCCACCCUGCUUAUUUAACUUCUAUGCAGAGCACAUCAUGCGAAAUAGUGGGCUGGAUGAAGCACAGCUGGAAUCAAGAUUGCCGGGAGAAAUAUCAAUAACCUCAGAUAUUUUUUCUUAAAAAUUAAGAAAAUGUUAGAUAUAUAACUAAUUCAUAAGAUACAUGUAGAUACUAGUCAAUUUUUCCACUUACUACCAUAAAAAUAUUCAUAAAUCUAUUAUAAAAAGUUAAAAUUUACCCAAACUUUUGCAAAAAAAAUCCUUGCAUACCAUACAUGGCAACAUCCAUUACAG
rnacentral:lncRNA from 1 species